rnacentral:rRNA from 1 species
ACUUGAGAGUUUGAUCAUGGCUCAGAACGUACGCUGGCGGCACGCCUAACACAUGCAAGUCGAACGAAGUAGCAAUACUUAGUGGCAGACGGGUGAGUAACAUGUAGGUAUCUGCCCUUUGGCCUGGAAUAACACGAGGAAACUUGUGCUAAUACCGGAUAAGUCUUUACGGAGAAAGCUUUAUGCACCAUUGGAUGAGCCUGCACUUGAUUAGUUUGUUGGUGGGGUAAUGGCCUACCAAGACUGUGAUCAAUAGCUGAUUUGAGAGGAUGAUCAGCCACAUUGGGACUGAGACACGGCCCAAACUCCUACGGGAGGCAGCAGUGGGGAAUCUUGCACAAUGGAGGAAACUCUGAUGCAGCGAUGCCGCGUGAGUGAAGAAGGCCUUUGGGUUGUAAAGCUCUUUCGUCGGGGAAGAAAAUGACUGUACCCGAAUAAGAAGGUCCGGCUAACUUCGUGCCAGCAGCCGCGGUAAUACGAAGGGACCUAGCGUAGUUCGGAAUUACUGGGCUUAAAGAGUUCGUAGGUGGUUGAAAAAGUUGGUGGUGAAAUCCCAGAGCUUAACUCUGGAACUGCCAUCAAAACUUUUCAGCUAGAGUAUGAUAGAGGAAAGCAGAAUUUCUAGUGUAGAGGUGAAAUUCGUAGAUAUUAGAAAGAAUACCAAUUGCGAAGGCAGCUUUCUGGAUCAUUACUGACACUGAGGAACGAAAGCAUGGGUAGCGAAGAGGAUUAGAUACCCUCGUAGUCCAUGCCGUAAACGAUGUGUGUUAGACGUUGGAAAUUUAUUUUCAGUGUCGCAGCGAAAGCGAUAAACACACCGCCUGGGGAGUACGACCGCAAGGUUAAAACUCAAAUGAAUUGACGGGGACCCGCACAAGUAGUGGAGCAUGUGGUUUAAUUCGAAGAUACGCGCAGAACCUUACCAACACUUGACAUGUUCGUCGCGACUCUAAGAGAUUAGAGUUUUCGGUUCGGCCGGACGAAACACAGGUGCUGCAUGGCUGUCGUCAGCUCGUGUCGUGAGAUGUUGGGUUAAGUCCCGCAACGAGCGCAACCCUCACUUUUAGUUGCCAUCAUUCAGUUGGGCACUCUGAAAGAACUGCCAGUGAUAAGCUGGAGGAAGGUGGGGAUGACGUCAAGUCCUCAUGGCCCUUACGUGUUGGGCUACACACGUGCUACAAUGGUAUCUACAACGAGCAGCCACUACGCAAGUAAGAGCGAAUCUUCAAAACCGGUCUCAGUUCGGAUCGCAGUCUGCAACUCGACUGCGUGAAGCUGGAAUCGCUAGUAAUCGGAUAUCAGCCAUGAUCCGGUGAAUACGUUCCCGGGCCUUGUAC